GACGAACGCUGGCGGCGUGCCUAAUACAUGCAAGUAGAACGCUGAAGGAGGAGCUUGCUCUUCUGGAUGAGUUGCGAACGGGUGAGUAACGCGUAGGUAACCUGCCUGGUAGCGGGGGAUAACUAUUGGAAACGAUAGCUAAUACCGCAUAAGAGUAGAUGUUGCAUGACAUUUGCUUAAAAGGUGCAAUUGCAUCACUACCAGAUGGACCUGCGUUGUAUUAGCUAGUUGGUGAGGUAACGGCUCACCAAGGCAACGAUACAUAGCCGACCUGAGAGGGUGAUCGGCCACACUGGGACUGAGACACGGCCCAGACUCCUACGGGAGGCAGCAGUAGGGAAUCUUCGGCAAUGGACGGAAGUCUGACCGAGCAACGCCGCGUGAGUGAAGAAGGUUUUCGGAUCGUAAGCUCUGUUGUAAGAGAAGAACGAGUGUGAGAGUGGAAAGUUCACACUGUGACGGUAUCUUACCAGAAAGGGACGGCUAACUACGUGCCAGCAGCCGCAGUAAAAC
rnacentral:rRNA from 1 species